GCCUACGGGAGGCAGCAGUGGGGAAUAUUGGACAAUGGGGGGAACCCUGAUCCAGCCAUGCCGCGUGUGUGAAGAAGGCCCUCGGGUUGUAAAGCACUUUCAGUGAGGAAGAACGCCUGGUGGUUAAUACCCAUCAGGAAAGACAUCACUCACAGAAGAAGCACCGGCUAACUCCGUGCCAGCAGCCGCGGUAAUACGGAGGGUGCGAGCGUUAAUCGGAAUUACUGGGCGUAAAGCGCGCGUAGGUGGCUUGAUAAGCCGGUUGUGAAAGCCCCGGGCUCAACCUGGGAACGGCAUCCGGAACUGUCAAGCUAGAGUGCAGGAGAGGAAGGUAGAAUUCCCGGUGUAGCGGUGAAAUGCGUAGAGAUCGGGAGGAAUACCAGUGGCGAAGGCGGCCUUCUGGACUGACACUGACACUGAGGUGCGAAAGCGUGGGUAGCAAACAGGAUUAGAUACCCGUGUAGUC
rnacentral:rRNA from 1 species